UACGUAGGGUGCGAGCGUUGUCCGGAAUUAUUGGGCGUAAAGAGCUCGUAGGCGGUUUGUCGCGUCUGCUGUGAAAACUCAGGGCUUAACUCUGAGCUUGCAGUGGGUACGGGCAGACUAGAGUGCGGUAGGGGAGACUGGAAUUCCUGGUGUAGCGGUGAAAUGCGCAGAUAUCAGGAGGAACACCGGUGGCGAAGGCGGGUCUCUGGGCCGAUACUGACGCUGGAGGAGCG
rnacentral:rRNA from 1 species